rnacentral:rRNA from 1 species
GGAAGUAAAAGUCGUAACAAGGUCUCCGUUGGUGAACCAGCGGAGGGAUCAUUAAAGAGUUGCAAAAACUCCCUACAAACCAUCGCGAACGCUACCCCAGACGUCGUUGCUUCGGCGGGCCUGCCCGCCGGGGGGACGCCCACACAGGCUCUUUGCAGUUACCCGGCCUCUCUGAGUUUGAUUAUACCAAAUCAGUCAAAACUUUCAACAACGGAUCUCUUGGUUCUGGCAUCGAUGAAGAACGCAGCGAAAUGCGAUAAGUAAUGUGAAUUGCAGAAUUCAGUGAAUCAUCGAAUCUUUGAACGCACAUUGCGCCCGCCAGCACUCUGGCGGGCAUGCCUGUUCGAGCGUCAUUUCAACCCACCAAGCCCUGCUUGUGCUGGGGCCCUGCGGCUGCCCGCAGGCCCUGAAAACCAGUGGCGGGCUCGCUAGUCACACCGAGCGCAGUAGCACACUUCUCGCUCAGGGCGUGCGGCGGGCUCUUGCCGUGAAGCCCCCCCCAAACUCCAAAGGUUGACCUCGGAUCAGGUAGGAAUACCCGCUGAACUUAAGCAUAUCAAUAAGCGGAGGA